rnacentral:rRNA from 1 species
UUCAGACCGACCUCAGAGCAGGUGAGAUCACCCGCUGAAUUUA